rnacentral:rRNA from 1 species
UGGGAUUUAGAUACCCCACUAUUCUAAAAUAUAAAACUCCAUUGAGGUAGUAAAACUUACAAAGGUUUAAACCUAAAUAAUAUGGCGGCUACUUAAAUUAAUUAGGGGAACUUACCACAUAAUUGAUAACCACCAAGUGAACUUACUUAAAUUAUUUUAAUGUUAAUAGUAUGUAUAUCGUCGUUGUCAAGACCGCUCUAAGAGAGGUUUUUAAAAUAAAUAUAAAAAGACAGAUCAAGGUGCAGCCAACAUUUAAGAGUUAAGGCGAGUUACAAUAAAGAUUUUUUAUAAACGGACUCCAAAAUCAAAAAUUUUUCAUGAAGCUGGACUUAAAAGUAAUAAUUAAAUAUAAAUAUAUUUUGAAUUUAUAUAUUAAGUAGUGUACACACCGCCCCGUCCACCCU